rnacentral:tRNA from 1 species
GAAUGUGGCUCAGUGGCACAGCACUUGCCUAGCAUGUAUGAGGCCCUGGGUUUGAUCCCUAGCACCA